GGGCAUGGCGGCAGCUAACACAUGCAGUCGAACGGUAACAGGAAGCAGCUUGCUGCUUCGCUGACGAGUGGCGGACGGGUGAGUAAUGUCUGGGAAACUGCCUGAUGGAGGGGGAUAACUACUGGAAACGGUAGCUAAUACCGCAUAAUGUCGCAAGACCAAAGAGGGGGACCUUCGGGCCUCUUGCCAUCGGAUGUGCCCAGAUGGGAUUAGCUAGUAGGUGGGGUAACGGCUCACCUAGGCGACGAUCCCUAGCUGGUCUGAGAGGAUGACCAGCCACACUGGAACUGAGACACGGUCCAGACUCCUACGGGAGGCAGCAGUGGGGAAUAUUGCACAAUGGGCGCAAGCCUGAUGCAGCCAUGCCGCGUGUAUGAAGAAGGCCUUCGGGUUGUAAAGUACUUUCAGCGGGGAGGAAGGUGAUGAGGUUAAUAACCUCGUCAAUUGACGUUACCCGCAGAAGAAGCACCGGCUAACUCCGUGCCAGCAGCCGCGGUAAUACGGAGGGUGCAAGCGUUAAUCGGAAUUACUGGGCGUAAAGCGCACGCAGGCGGUCUGUCAAGUCGGAUGUGAAAUCCCCGGGCUCAACCUGGGAACUGCAUUCGAAACUGGCAGGCUAGAGUCUUGUAGAGGGGGGUAGAAUUCCAGGUGUAGCGGUGAAAUGCGUAGAGAUCUGGAGGAAUACCGGUGGCGAAGGCGGCCCCCUGGACAAAGACUGACGCUCAGGUGCGAAAGCGUGGGGAGCAAACAGGAUUAGAUACCCUGGUAGUCCACGCCGUAAACGAUGUCGACUUGGGAGGUUGUGCCCUUGAGGCGUGGCUUCCGGAGCUAACGCGUUAAGUCGACCGCCUGGGGGAGUACGGCCGCAAGGUUAAAACUCAAAUGAAUUUGACGGGGGGCCCGCACAAGCGGUGGAACCAUGUGGGUUUAAUUUCGAUGCCAACGCGAAAAAACCUUUACCUACUUCUUGAACAUCCAGAAGAACUUUUCCAGAAAAUGGUUUUGGGUGCCCUUCGGGAAACUCUGAAAACAGGUGCUUGCAUGGGCUGUCCUCCAACCCCGUGGU
rnacentral:rRNA from 1 species